rnacentral:rRNA from 1 species
GACGAACGCUGGCGGCGUGCCUAAUACAUGCAAGUAGAACGCUGAAGAGAGGAGCUUGCUCUUCUUGGAUGAGUUGCGAACGGGUGAGUAACGCGUAGGUAACCUGCCUGGUAGCGGGGGAUAACUAUUGGAAACGAUAGCUAAUACCGCAUAAUAGCAGUUAUUGCAUGAUAACUGUUUAAAAGGUGCAAUUGCAUCACUACCAGAUGGACCUGCGUUGUAUUAGCUAGUUGGUGGGGUAACGGCUCACCAAGGCGACGAUACAUAGCCGACCUGAGAGGGUGAUCGGCCACACUGGGACUGAGACACGGCCCAGACUCCUACGGGAGGCAGCAGUAGGGAAUCUUCGGCAAUGGACGGAAGUCUGACCGAGCAACGCCGCGUGAGUGAAGAAGGUUUUCGGAUCGUAAAGCUCUGUUGUAAGAGAAGAACGAGUGUGAGAGUGGAAAGUUCAU